CCUAUGGGUGGCAGCAGUGGGGAAUAUUGCGCAAUGGGCGAAAGCCUGACGCAGCGACGCCGCGUGAGGGAUGAAGGUCUUCGGAUCGUAAACUUCUUUUCUCAGGGACGAAGAAAGUGACGGUACCUGAGGAAUAAGCCACGGCUAACUACGUGCCAGCAGCCGCGGUAAUACGUAGGUGGCAAGCGUUAUCCGGAUUUACUGGGUGUAAAGGGAGCGUAGACGGUGCAGCAAGUCUGAUGUGAAAGGUCGGGGCCCAACCCCGGGACUGCAUUGGAAACUGUUGAACUGGAGUACAGGAGAGGUAAGCGGAAUUCCUAGUGUAGCGGUGAAAUGCGUAGAUAUUAGGAGGAACACCAGUGGCGAAGGCGGCUUACUGGACUGUAACUGACGUUGAGGCUCGAAAGCGUGGGGAGCAAACAGGAUUAGAUACCCUUGUAGUC
rnacentral:rRNA from 1 species